UACGUAGGGUGCAAGCGUUGUCCGGAAUUAUUGGGCGUAAAGAGCUCGUAGGCGGUUUGUCGCGUCUGCUGUGAAAACUCGGGGCUUAACUCCGGGCCUGCAGUGGGUACGGGCAGACUAGAGUGCGGUAGGGGAGACUGGAAUUCCUGGUGUAGCGGUGGAAUGCGCAGAUAUCAGGAGGAACACCGAUGGCGAAAGCAGGUCUCUGGGCAGUAACUGACGCUGAGGAGCGAAAGCGUGGGUAGCAAACGGG
rnacentral:rRNA from 1 species